GAGGUUCCCCUUCGCGGCCAGCUUCUUAGAGGGACUAUGGUUGUUUAGGCCAUGGAAGUUUGAGGCAAUAACAGGUCUGUGAUGCCCUUAGAUGUUCUGGGCCGCACGUGCGCUACACUGAUGCAGUCAACGAGUUUUUCUCCCUAGUUCGAGAGGAUCGGGAAAUCUUCUCAAAUUGCAUCGUGAUGGGGAUAGACCAUUGCAAUUAUUGGUAUUCAACGAGGAAUUCCUAGUAAGCGUGUGUCAUCAGCUCAUGUUGACUACGUCCCUGCCCUUUGUACACACCGCCCGUCGCUCCUACCGAUUGAAUGAUCCGGUGAAGUGUUCGGAUCGCGUCAACGAGGGUGGUUCACCGCCGACGAUGUCGUGAGAAGUUCACUGAACCUUAUCAUUUAGAGGAAGGAGAAGUCGUAACAAGGUUACUGUAGGUGAACCUGCGGUAGGAUCAUUG
rnacentral:ncRNA from 1 species